UGCUUUUGCUUGUUCAAGAAUCAAGAUAAAAUGCAAAUUCCGAAAUCAAUACACUAUAACUGCACCGCCGUGUCACUUUCUCUGAGUUUCUCGAAGAAUUUCCUGUGAAACAAACAAACCUCUGCCUGUCAAAACUUUCCAGUUGUAACAUAAGUUGAAUUCCUCUCCAAUCACACACCGUUUUAGAUAGCAGUUGCCAAGUUUAUCCAUUUUCCUCGUUGUCAGCAAAUUUUCUUUUUCUUUCUGUUUUUUCUCGCUAAUUUUCUCGGAUUAGGUUAAAUUUGGUCUAUCCAUUUGGUAUUUUCUGGAGAAAACAAAAAAUGAUGAGAAGACAACAGCAACAGCAGCAACAAGAUCAACAGUCUAGAAUCUUUUACGAGCUAUCAGCUCUGGUGUUGAACAUCCUGCGAUCACCGCCUUCGCCGAUGCCGUACUCCGACCAGUCAUCGGAGGCGGUUGUGUCGUCGACGAGGAGGUCGUCGUCGUCGUCGUCGAUGCAGAUCUCACCGGCGGGAUUUGCGUCGUUGAUGCUGGGGAUUUCGUUAGCUUUGAUGCUGUGUGGAUCAGUGACGUUCUUUAUAGGGUUCAUGUUGAUGCCUUGGGUUCUUGGAUUGGUUAUGGUGUUUUAUGUUGCUGGGAUUGUUUCUACUAUAUCAGUUUUGGGUAAAUCCAUAUUUUGUUACGCUAUGGCUCCACCUUCUUCGCCGAGAAAGGAUAUACCUGCCUGCAGGUUGCCUAAGUUCUUUAAGAUAUGCCCAGUUGUUGGUUGGUUGAUUUCACUUCACAUUCUAAACUGUGGAGACAAGUAGUGGAAUAAGUCAAUUAUGAAUGAUAUGGUUCAUCAAGCUUGAGCUUGAAUGGGAUAGCAUGGAAGUUUUUGUGAAGAGAGAAGGGAGAUCAAAAGGAUGGUUGAAAUAUGUACGGCAAAGCUAAUUCUCUUGUGACGUGAGUAGUGCUCGGUUCUAGCAACGUACAGAGGAAAAGAAAUCCAAUUAGGUUUCUGGAAGUAUUGAUGAUACAGGAAUUGUGGAUGACUGUUUUUCAAUCCGUUAAGGAAACAUGUGGAUAUGUCUUCUUUGUUAUAGUCAAACAGUAAUUGUUGGGGAUUUUAUAUUAAUGUAUAAUGAUAUCCCACUC